rnacentral:rRNA from 1 species
UAUUCCCUACGGGAGGCAGCAGUGAGGAAUAUUGGUCAAUGGGCGCGAGCCUGAACCAGCCAAGUCGCGUGAGGGAAGACGGUCCUAUGGAUUGUAAACCUCUUUUGUCGGGGAGCAAAAGACGCCACGUGUGGCGUUCCGAGAGUACCCGAAGAAAAAGCAUCGGCUAACUCCGUGCCAGCAGUCGCGGUAAUACGGAGGAUGCGAGCGUUAUCCGGAUUUAUUGGGUUUAAAGGGUGCGUAGGCGGGACGGUAAGUCAGCGGUAAAAAUGCGGAGCUCAACUCCGGCGAGCC